ACACGCCCCAGAAUAUUGGUCAUAGCGGUCCACCCGGGACUGCGCGACCCGGAAUCCUUGGAAGGACUUCUCGGAAGGACUCCUCUCUGACAGACAACACCUUUUUGCUUUUCUUCCACAUCUUCACACUCCUUCAGGAUCAAAAACCUAAGCCACAUGACUGGAUGAGCCGUCACUUGGCCUUCAUUCGGGUAGUGAUGGUCCUCACUGUAGUGGAUGUUUUGCCUCCAGAUAUGCUUGAAUCACUGCAUUUUGGGAAUAACUUCAAAUGCAAGUCCUUGAUCUAAAUAAACAGAGUGACGAGGGGCCUAUGUAUCUAUACCACCUGUCUCCUGAGUAUACACCAGGCCAGCAUAAUCAGCCUCAGCAACUUCUGGUUGGAAAGCUUUAAACAUAAAUUUACAAAUAACAUUGUCAGUGUCCUCUUUUUUCUUUUUUGUUCCCUCAAUUUGUCUUUCAGUAGUGACAUAAUAUUCUUCACUGUGGCUUCUUCCAUUGUGACCCAGACCAAUCUACUUAAGGUCCGCAAAUACUGCUCACGUUCUCCCAUGAAGUCCAUCAUGUGGGGAGUGUUUUCCUUGUAGGAUUACGCUGCUCUCAAGUGCAUACAUGAUGAUCUUUUUGUCCAAGCAUCAGAGGUGAUCCCAGCAUCUUCACAGUACCAGCCUUUCCCCAAGAUCCUCGCCAGAGAAAAGGGUUACCCAGAUCAUCCUGCCACUGGUUCCAGCAUUUGGAGGCAAACAUGAAGCUCCAUCCUCUCCAAUUCUGGGGCAACCGUGUGGAGAUGAUCAAAAUGCUUCACCUUCAAAACUUUCAAAGGAAGAGUUAAUACAGAGUAUGGAUCGUGUAGAUCGAGAAAUUGCAAAA
ensembl:lncRNA novel transcript